rnacentral:lncRNA from 1 species
AUCGACUUGAGACCCUCGACGGAACGACUGUCCCUCAGAUAUAAAAUACCGACAAUCUACAAAUGUAUUAUCAGUGAAGUUUGUCUAUAUAACAUAAUAUGUUUGAAAUGAUAUGUUCAGCUUUCAAUAAAUUUUCAACUGAAUAUUCAGUUAUCUAUAAAUAUGAUGUCUGACCGAUGAUCCAUCGGUUAAUCUAUAAACCGACUUCAGUCGAUUGAAAGAUAUACUGACUCGACUCAGAU